UUGGAGUCCUUUGCAAGGUUUGGUGGUC
rnacentral:piRNA from 1 species